AACGAACGCUGGCGGCGUGCUUAACACAUGCAAGUCUGAUGGGAAUGUCGGCUUCGGCUGACUAGUACCGUGGCGAACGGGUGAGUAACACGUGGGUCAUCUGCCCUCGAGCUUGGGAUAACCUUGCGAAAGCGAGGCUAAUACCGGAUAAGACCACGCCCUGCACGCAGGGAGCGGUCAAAGGUGGCCUCUUCUUGAAAGCUAUCACUUGAGGAUGAGCCCGCGGCCUAUUAGCUAGUUGGUGAGGUAACGGCUCACCAAGGCGACGAUGGGUAGCCGGCCUGAGAGGGUGUACGGCCACACUGGCACUGAGACACGGGCCAGACUCCUACGGGAGGCAGCAGUGGGGAAUUUUGCGCAAUGGGGGAAACCCUGACGCAGCAACGCCGCGUGAGUGAUGAAGGCCUUCGGGUUGUAAAGCUCUUUUAGUGGGGAAGAAGCCCUCCCUGGCUAAUAUCCAGGGGGUCUGACGGUACCCACAGAAAAAGUUCCGGCUAACUACGUGCCAGCAGCCGCCGUAACAC
rnacentral:rRNA from 1 species